rnacentral:rRNA from 1 species
CCUACGGGGGCAGCAGUAGGGAAUUUUCGUCAAUGGGCGCAAGCCUGAACGAGCAAUGCCGCGUGAACGAGGAAGGUCUUCGGAUCGUAAAGUUCUGUUGAAGGGCAAAAAGAGCGGAGAGAGGAAAUGGUCUCCGAUUGAUAUUACCCUUAGAGGAAGUCACGGCUAACUACGUGCCAGCAGCCGCGGUAAUACGUAGGUGGCGAGCGUUAUCCGGAAUGAUUGGGCGUAAAGGGUGCGUAGGCGGCCUGCUAAGUCUGGAGUGAAAGGUACCGGCUCAACCGGUACAGGCUCUGGAAACUGGCGGGCUAGAGAGCAGGAGAGGGCGGUGGAACUCCAUGUGUAGCGGUAAAAUGCGUAGAUAUAUGGAAGAACACCAGUGGCGAAGGCGGCCGCCUGGCCUGUUGACUGACGCUGAGGCACGAAAGCGUGGGGAGCAAAUAGGAUUAGAUACCCGGGUAGUC